UACGUAGGGUGCGAGCGUUAAUCGGAAUUACUGGGCGUAAAGCGUGCGCAGGCGGUUUGCUAAGACCGAUGUGAAAUCCCCGGGCUCAACCUGGGAACUGCAUUGGUGACUGGCAGGCUAGAGUAUGGCAGAGGGGGGUAGAAUUCCACGUGUAGCAGUGAAAUGCGUAGAUAUGUGGAGGAACACCGAUGGCGAAGGCAGCCCCCUGGGUCAAGACUGACGCUCAUGCACGAAAGCGUGGGGAGCAAACAGG
rnacentral:rRNA from 1 species